GACGUAGGGGGCGAGCGUUGUCCGGAUUUACUGGGCGUAAAGAGCGCGUAGGCGGCCUAUUAAGUCAGGUGUGAAAUCUCCAGGGCUCAACCCGGAAACUGCACUUGAUACUGUUAGGCUGGAGUGUCGGAGAGGUGAUUGGAAUUCCUGGUGUAGCGGUGACAUGCAUUGAUAUCAGGAGGAACACCCAUGGCGAAGGCAGAUCACUGGCCGACAACUGACGCUGAGGCGCGAAAGCGUGGGUAGCAAACAGA
rnacentral:rRNA from 3 species